rnacentral:misc_RNA from 1 species
CCCAUGCUUGAGCCCGAACUCCCGGAACCCGAUCUCCAGGUCGGCGGCGGCAACGAGCAGCUCGGCCGCCUGUGCCGGCUCCAGUAUCUCCACCGCCCGCUUCACGGUGCGCAGCCGCAGCGCGUCGGCCCUGUCCAGCACCGCCCUGGCCCUGCGCACGAGGCCGGCCACGUCGAGUCCGCCGGACCCGUCCGGCGCCGCCGGCAGCACGACGACGCCGUGGCCCUCCUGCACGAGCGCCAUCUCCCUUGCCAGCGCGUCCUCCUCGGCCACCGUGCGGCGCUGCAGGUCGUCGACCUGCGCCAGCUGCGCGGGGGUGAGGUCGCCAAGGUUCCCCGACCGCACGCCGAGGAGGAGGUCCGGCAGCUGCGCCUCGAGGCGGCGCCCGGACUCGGUGUACAGCAGGUGGACCAGCGUGGUGGGGCGCCACCCGGCGAGCCAGUACGCGGCGCCGCGCUCCGCGGGGGUGGCCCACGGCGCCGACAGCGUCCACACCGGGUCCAGCCCGGCGCGCGCGGCGCAGUACGACUCCAGGUGGGCCACGAAGCGGCCCACCUGCGCGGGGAGCUGGGCCGUCGGGUCGUCCGACCACCGGGCCGACGCCAGGUCCCGGCGCAGCGAGCGCAGCCCGCGGAACCAGAGGUGGAAGCGCCGGGCCGCCGCCUCCAGCUCCAGCUCCAUUCCCGCGCCCCCCGACGAAUCGGGCAGCAGGGCGCACCGGUGCAGGGGGGGCGCGCGGCGGACGUGGCUCGGGAGGUGUGUCAACGACGACCACGCGUGGGCGGUGGACUUUAUAGGGUGCGGCCGGUCAUGCAGGCGGCCACGCGUGGAGCGGAGGCGAACGGACGGCUGCGGGCGUAUGAGGUGGCGCGCAUGCAGGGGGCCGUGUGUGCCCAGAGCACUGGCCGUUUGGUUCUGGACGGCGACGCCGUCACGCCGGGCGGAGGGGUGACAUGUGGCCCGGACGUGCCAAUGGGUGUGGUGUGUAGCGACGCACGGUUUGGUUGGUCCCAGUAGUCAGCUGUUUCAUGAGGUUUGGUGACAGACGAGCGCGCAGCAGCAGCUGGAGCAUAGAAGUUUGUGCCGUGUGAGGCAAAGAAAAGUUUUGGGUUAUCCCAUCUGGAUGGCUGCACCGCUGCAGAGCAGCAGAUAUUUUGCACACUGUUCACCCAGCUUUAAACAGGAGAGCCUUCUCGGCGGCCUCAUCCUCGAUUCGAAUAGUUGGAGCUGGGGAGAGAGAGACAAUGUGGAUAGCUUGCUAGUGUUGUCUGCUAGUUAGUAGUGCCCCCGAGAUCAGGUUUCUAACUUCCUGCAUUCCGG